rnacentral:rRNA from 1 species
CAACCCCUGUGGUUAGUUGCCAGCAAGUAGCGUUGGGCACGUCUAGCCAGACUGCCGGUGAUAAAUCGGAGGAAGGUGGGGACGACGUCAAAUCAUCAUGCCCUUUAUGACCUGGGCUACACACGUGCUACAAUGGUUGGUACAACGAGUUGCGAGUCGGUGACGGCGAGCUAAUCUCUUAAAAGCCAAUCUCAGUUCGGAUUGUAGGCUGCAACUCGCCUACAUGAAGUCGGAAUCGCUAGUAAUCGCGGAUCAGCACGCCGCGGUGAAUACGUUCCCGGGCCUU